CGGAACGGGUGAGUAAUACAUCGGAACGUGCCCGAUCGUGGGGGAUAACGAAGCGAAAGCUUUGCUAAUACCGCAUAAGAUCUACGGAUGAAAGCAGGGGACCGCAAGGCCUUGCGCGAACGGAGCGGCCGAUGGCAGAUUAGGGAGUUGGUGGGAUAAAAGCUUACCAAGCCGACGAUCUGUAGCUGGUCUGAGAGGACGACCAGCCACACUGGGACUGAGACACGGCCCAG
rnacentral:rRNA from 1 species